GUGGAUUAGAUACCCGAGUAGUCCCGGCCGUAAACGAUGGAUACUAGGUGUUGCGGGUAUCGACCCCUGCAGUGCCGUAGCAAACGCGAUAAGUAUCCCGCCUGGGGAGUACGCACGCAAGUGUGAAACUCAAAGGAAUUGACGGGGACCCGCACAAGCGGUGGAACAUGUGGUUUAAUUCGAAGCAACGCGAAAAACCUUACCAGGGCUUGACAUCUGAGGAACCUUAGUGAAAGCUAGGGGUGCUUUUCGGAGAGCCUCAAGACAGGUGGUGCAUGGCCGUCGUCAGCU
rnacentral:rRNA from 1 species